AUAUAUAUUAUUUGCUGGUAUGACACAUUCUAGUUUACUUACUGAGUUAAUCUCAUUAUUAGUUUGUUGUGUUUCUAGGUGAUGAUCUUGAUCUGUCUGAUGCUUAGAGGAGUUGGCAGCGAUAUUAGCUAGGUUGAGGACUAGCAAAAGAAAGAUCAAAAGGCCAAUAAAGUACAUUAACUACCGGGAUUAUACAUGGUACUUCUACGCAUCAAUUUUAGCUUCAUGUGUAUUAAAAACUAAAAAGACAUGCUAAGCAGCAGCUUGAGUUUCUUCAGGUGUUUCCUCUUCGUCAUCAGUCUAUAUACAAGUUCCAAGCUCAUGAUGCUCCUCUAGUUUUAUAGAUAAACUACAUUUAGGUGGUUCCAGACUUCCAGUGCUAUCUGAUCAUGAAAGUCCUACUGUAGGUGGAGGGUUCCCCUAUACAUUACUUAAUGAAUGCUGUGCUAUUUGUUUUCCUUAGAUAAAGAUCUGUACAUUUGUAUGUAUGUCUAUUGUCAUCUAGGAUUAGAUAAGA